GAUGGGGGUGCGGUGACCGCUCCGCUGUUUCCAGCCACCCUGGAACGGACCCUGGUACCAGGGUCUGCUGCAGCAUCCCGAGGCUUUCAGCUUUCUUGAAGACAGACUGGAGAAUGAGGCUGUCAGAUCUCUGCAGGAUGUCAUCCAGGGGACUUCUUCCCAUGUUCUCACUUCCCUCUGGAAAGGGCGGCCUCUCCUUGAGGCACACACCACACAAGGCUACAAGCUUUUAAAGAGUCUUGCAGCACAUCAAUGGUCAAGGUCAGAAUCCCAUUAUGAAGCUAAAAAAUGAAGUCGACAUUUAGUCUGAAAAGAAAGUUUUGUUAUAGUGGUGCUAAUAAACUAACAGUUUUGUGAAGUUUUGAAGAUUCUGGAAGAAGUUUCCUCACAAAGAAAUCUCAUUGAAGAAUGUUCACUGGAUGCUACAGCAAUUGACCAGCCUUGCAGUUUCUGCUCUGCAGUGGUAGUUAGACAAACAUCCAGGAGUAGGAAUCUGCAUGGACAGCCCAUCUAUAUGCUGUGCACCAGCCUCCAGUCAGGGGGAUCAGCACAGCUGCAUGAAAGCAUCAGCCUUAUUCCUGUGCUGCCUGUCUCAAGGAAUGGGGGAUGUGAGCAGCAUAGAAGUGUGUUUACACAAAUGCUUGCUGUGAGUGGAAAACAGCUCUUAACACUUCUGUCUUGUUCUAAUGGAUAGCACACUAUGACCAUCUUAAUGUUCACUGUUUUCAGGACCUAAUUACUUCUGCAUAAUACAUUCAUUUGAGGAUUUAAUUUGCUUUUAGAUUCCAGUGAUGGGAGCAGCAUUUCUGAAGUCAGUUUCCAGAGACACUUAGGUUUCAACCUUCCCAAAUGUUGGCAUAAUAAUGGUUUUCUGCCCAUAAAGAUGGAAGGGGCUUUUACAGGUCUCUGCAGCUAAUCUGUGGAGCUACUGUGAAAUGUCCAUACAUGAGGAUAUUCUCUAAGGUGAUUAUUCUCCAGAGUCUUUGCAGAUGCUUCUAACUAAGCAAAGUGACUGGGCCUGCACUUUUUCAUCUCAAUUCAGUGGCAAUCCUCCUGGUUCUCGGGAGCAAUUUUAGGCUUGACUUCUUCCAACUCUUAUUUUUCAUUCCAGCAAUGUUGACACAAGCCCUGCAGCCUGUCUAGCAGCAGGGACAGAGCAAAAAUAACAAGCACUUUCUGCUUUUAAAUUCAGAGAUUCACACAUCCAACCAAGGAAAAACAAUCAAUGACUAUUUAGGUGUUUCUGCCUGAACAAGAUGUCUUUAAAUUAAGUCUUGCUACUUGUCAUACGAGACUUGAAAAUAAGAACACUCUGACUUCCUAAUUCAGCCACUAAACAGCAAAGAAGGAAGUUUCAUUGGGUUGUUUGGCCAGGUGACAGGCCUUGUAUUUCCACCAGGGUUCUUUGUCGGGGAAGUGUUUUUCCUUAGGGUAUCUGUCACAGUGAACAAACUACCUUUAGGGAGCAUAGGGACUGAGGAGAAAAUGAAAAUACUCAAUUUAUGACCUUGUAAUUAAGCAGCAGUUAAUUCUCAGAUUACUAUCUUGGUUCAAGGAACUCAUUAGUUUUAGAACUAAUUGCUGGUGCAAGGGACAGAACAGAGUCACACAGCUGGAGGCAUAGGGAGGGUAGAAUUGGGGCAGCCUGGUUUUAGACCAGCAUCAACUGGGUCACUAUUAAGCUUAGUCAUAUCUAAUUGCAAGUAAUUGUAGAAAAAUAUAGUCUCAUUCCUCUUUUUUCCUACCCAUGCCAUAUUCUUGCUUGCAUAAAUUGUAGGGAUUGCCCCAGUGGAUCUAACUCAGAAUACUGAUCAGAUAGAUCAAGAACUGUCAGAACUUCUUGGCACAGGGUUAGACAUUCCUAGGACAAAGACUGAAAUAUUUACUCUGCCUUCAUCCUGAUGUGGUAAGACCUGCUUCUCGGUGCCAGUAAUUCUAGGAUUGCAACACAUCGUGCUGUUGAUCUUUGCUUAUGUUGACAAGGGUCAGCUGUAACCUGCUUAUUUAGAAAAGAAAGAUCCCAAACAUUUAUUUAAUUACCACUUGCCAGAGAGAAUUCCAGGGCCUCUGGGGCCACCCUGUGACAUUGCUCUUCUCAGGAUGCUUCCAGGUAGAAUUGGAACACAACUCAAUUUGGUUUAACUAUGACAAGGUAGUGGAGUGUGGAGUAAAUAUUAUUGUUUCAUUAGCAGUUCUGCAUUUAAUUUAGAUAGGAGUUUCUGCACAAAUGAGAAACUGUUGCACUUGUUAAUGAUAGCACCACCCCAUGGAAUAACUGUACCCCACAGCAGACACUGACUAUGUGGAUGAGCCCUGCAGAGUGCUCAGCCCCUGAGGCGGGGAGGAAGGCUGAAUGAAACAGAUGCAUUGGGAGCACAUCUCACGGAGCCUUCAGGUUUUCGUUGGCAGCAGGAAGUAUCUUUUCUGAUUCUCUCUUUGGCAGAGGUCACAGCACGUGUGGGCAGUUUGUAGCCAGACUUCUGCCUGCUCUCUCUUGUUCCUCAUCCACAGACAAAGUGGUGACCAAGCAAGGCCAGUGACUGUUGAGCCAGAACUCUGUACUGGCAGGAGACAGUUACCUUUCAAACUGGAGUGCCUUUGUUUUUAUGUACUAAGUUCAGUGUGGGAGCUGCCUCUUCUGAGCUGAUAAACUCCCUCUUGAAGCUGUUGUUAUCAGGCAUCUGAAAACAUCACACCAAUUGCCAAGUGCUGUUUUAUUUAACAAUCUUUGUUUUAUCAGAAGAAAGUCUAAAUUCUCUUCAUGCACUGCUUUUUCUACUUUGAUAACAACAUCCCAUUUGCAAUUGUAGGGUGGUUCAAACACAGAAUUUCAGAGAGCAGAAAGACUGUCACAAAUCUGACAGAAUCAUGGACACAGAAACGAAAACAUCAGCUUUGCAGUAACUUUGUUAUGUGAAAUUCACCCCUAGGGAAUAAACCAGUACUUUCCACUUUCUUCUCUGCAACUCCCUACUGAAAGAGCAAAAUUUAUACAAGAACAGGACCAAAACCACCCCCAAAUGUAGGGAGGCACAGUGGUUCAUAUCUACAAGACUGGGGACUCUCAUGAUACUGAAGGGCCUGCCUGACAAACCAAGGGUGGCAUCAUAGGAUCUGACCAGGGCAGUGUAAGUGAUGUUUUGAGGAAGGCACACAAAGAUAAAUGUAAACAGUCCACAUGAUGGGUUUUCUCCCCACAGGAAUCAAGAUCAAUUGACAGAAGCACACAAAACCCUCCCCAGUUUCAGCCCCAUGCAAGCUAUUUGUGCUGGUGUUUUAGCCCAGCUUUCAUCUCCCUGCAUUCUAUUUAGAGCCACAGCCUGUCCCAGGACUGCCCUGUGCAAAUGAGCAUUAAGAGCUGUGCUGAAUGCCACCAGCCCAGAAAAAUAACCACUGUGCUUAUUUUGCAUUCAUUCUGUGCUGGCGCAAGCCUCUGUGUUGGACAGAGACCAAUGAGGCCCAAAUGGUUUUCUCCUGUGCUAGGAGUGAACUGAUUUUAAGUUGGCACAUUGAUCACCUACAUUGUACAAGAUCAAAUAUGUAGACAUAUAUUGCAUAAAGUCCUAUGAGAAAGUAUAUACAGGCAGAAUAUAAUUAAUAAGCCAAAACUUCAAUAGCCAGUACCUGCAGCGAGAGAUGAUUGUACUCUAGUUACUUCCUUGGCUACCCAGCUCAUCACUUCUGUAUGUUGACUACAACCACAGAUUUCCUGUGAACUUUUGAAUCUAAUAGUUGAAUAGUUUGAAUCUAAUAAUUUAAUCUAACCCUAAUCAUGUCAUAGUUACUAAACUUACAUGUUUAAAGCCAAAUUUAAUGUCAGCUGGAGAUCUAACGCUAACAAUUUGUUACUUACUUGGAUAUUUUUAAUUAAUAAAUAAGAAAAAUAGCA